rnacentral:misc_RNA from 1 species
AACGCACAUUGCGCCCGCCAGUACUCUGGCGGGCAUGCCUGUUCGAGCGUCAUUUCAACCCUCAAGCCCCCGGCUUGGUGUUGGGGCCCUGCGGCUGCCGCAGGCCCCGAAAUGGAGUGGCGGGCUCGCGGCGAACUCCGAGCGUAGUAGAAUCCUAUCUCGCUAGGGAGACGCGGCGCGCUCCGGCCGUUAAAGCAAUCAUCUUUAACCCAAGGUUGACCUCGGAUCAGGUAGGAAUACCCGCUGAACUUAA